AAAUAUAGGAUAUACAUCUGUCACCCCACUGAUUGCCAGGGUGGAUUUGGCUGAUCUGGCUGGUAGUGGGUAUCCCCUUCUUCCCUCACUGCUCCAUGUGUGUCCCUCCCAAAGCUGUUAGUGUGGCCAAAAAGGAUAGGCACCCCCAAUUGAGGAGGAUGGUUCCUCAGUCAAGGGUAUACGAGUAGCUGUGCUUUCCUGCUGGAACUGUCAAACAAGCUCUCAAAUAUAUGAAAAGAUGUGCAUACUCCUUAGUUCCUAAGGAAAUUUACACAGAAGAACAAGUAUCAUUUC
rnacentral:snRNA from 1 species